GGUUGACCUCGGAUCAGGUAGGAGUUACCCGCUGAACUUAAGCAUAUCAAUAAGGCCGGAGGAA
rnacentral:rRNA from 1 species